UCUUAUAACCUGUCAAUCAAUUUUUAGGACGAAUUUGAUCGAAUAAUAAUUAAAUUUUAUUAUAAAUCAAAAAAAGUGUCUCCAUGAAUACAAAUUGAAUCAAUUUGGAGUUUCCCCACGCAAAAACGCUACAUUUAUUGCUUUAAAACCAGCAUAUCUUAUAAAAAAACAAAAUGGAUGAGAAACGAAAACUUUCCGAAGAAGAUUUGACAAAUUUAACAAAAUAUUUCAUUGGAAACAACACUCGAUACAGAGACACAAUAAUAAUCCUAAAAAAAAGUAAUUUAAUCAUCAAAUGAGUGAUGAUGUUGGGAUGAUCGUGGAGGAGGAUGUGGUAAUAAUUAUAAAAGUAGACGGCUCAAAAAUAAAAGAAAAAACUCCUUAUUAUGAUAAUAAAGCAAAAAUGAAAUGUAAAUGUACGAUUUGUCAAUAAGAAGGUGAGAUGAUUUUAAUGAUUCAAUCUUAAUUUUGGAAACUUUUUAAGUUACACUCGCCCCAUUUGUCCGAAUAAAUGAAUUUUGUUGAAUUUA